rnacentral:rRNA from 1 species
CCUACGGGAGGCAGCAGUGGGGAAUUUUGGACAAUGGGCGCAAGCCUGAUCCAGCAAUGCCGCGUGAGUGAAGAAGGCCUUCGGGUUGUAAAGCUCUUUUGUCAGGGAAGAAACGGCUGAGGUUAAUACCUUUGGCUAAUGACGGUACCUGAAGAAUAAGCACCGGCUAACUACGUGCCAGCAGCCGCGGUAAUACGUAGGGUGCAAGCGUUAAUCGGAAUUACUGGGCGUAAAGCGUGCGCAGGCGGUUUUGUAAGUCUGACGUGAAAUCCCCGGGCUCAACCUGGGAAUUGCGUUGGAGACUGCAAGGCUGGAGUCUGGCAGAGGGGGGUAGAAUUCCACGUGUAGCAGUGAAAUGCGUAGAGAUGUGGAGGAACACCGAUGGCGAAGGCAGCCCCCUGGGUCAAGACUGACGCUCAUGCACGAAAGCGUGGGGAGCAAACAGGAUUAGAUACCCUGGUAGUCCACGCCCUAAACGAUGUCUACUAGUUGUCGGGUCUUAAUUGACUUGGUAACGCAGCUAACGCGUGAAGUAGACCGCCUGGGGAGUACGGUCGCAAGAUUAAAACUCAAAGGAAUUGACGGCUGAGAGCGACGACGACGACGACGGAGGAGGAGG